UGGGGAAUAUUGGUCAAUGGGCGAAAGCCUGAACCAGCAAUGCCGCGUGAGUGAUGAAGGCCUUCGGGUUGUAAAGCUCUGUCGAUCGGGACGAAAAAGACGGGGUAACGCCCGGACUUGACGGUACCGGUAAAGGAAGCACCGGCUAACUCUGUGCCAGCAGCCGCGGUAAUACAGAGGGUGCAAGCGUUGUUCGGAAUUACUGGGCGUAAAGCGCGUGUAGGCGGCGGCGUAAGUCGGAUGUGAAAUCCCUUGGCUUAACCAAGGAAGUGCAUCCGAUACUGCGUCGCUUGAGUGCCGGAGGGGAUGGCGGAAUUCCCGGUGUAGAGGUGAAAUUCGUAGAUAUCGGGAGGAACACCUGUGGCGAAGGCGGCCAUCUGGACGGUAACUGACGCUGAGACGCGAAAGCGUGGGUAGCAAACAGGAUUAGAUACCCCGGUAGUCC
rnacentral:rRNA from 1 species